AAAUUGAAGAGUUUGAUCAUGGCUCAGAUUGAACGCUGGCGGCAGGCCUAACACAUGCAAGUCGAACGGUAACAGGAAGCAGCUUGCUGCUUUGCUGACGAGUGGCGGACGGGUGAGUAAUGUCUGGGAAACUGCCUGAUGGAGGGGGAUAACUACUGGAAACGGUGGCUAAUACCGCAUAACGUCGCAAGACCAAAGAGGGGGACCUUCGGGCCUCUUGCCAUCAGAUGUGCCCAGAUGGGAUUAGCUUGUUGGUGAGGUAACGGCUCACCAAGGCGACGAUCCCUAGCUGGUCUGAGAGGAUGACCAGCCACACUGGAACUGAGACACGGUCCAGACUCCUACGGGAGGCAGCAGUGGGGAAUAUUGCACAAUGGGCGCAAGCCUGAUGCAGCCAUGCCGCGUGUAUGAAGAAGGCCUUCGGGUUGUAAAGUACUUUCAGCGGGGAGGAAGGUGUUGUGGUUAAUAACCGCAGCAAUUGACGUUACCCGCAGAAGAAGCACCGGCUAACUCCGUGCCAGCAGCCGCGGUAAUACGGAGGGUGCAAGCGUUAAUCGGAAUUACUGGGCGUAAAGCGCACGCAGGCGGUCUGUCAAGUCGGAUGUGAAAUCCCCGGGCUCAACCUGGGAACUGCAUUCGAAACUGGCAGGCUUGAGUCUUGUAGAGGGGGGUAGAAUUCCAGGUGUAGCGGUGAAAUGCGUAGAGAUCUGGAGGAAUACCGGUGGCGAAGGCGGCCCCCUGGACAAAGACUGACGCUCAGGUGCGAAAGCGUGGGGAGCAAACAGGAUUAGAUACCCUGGUAGUCCACGCCGUAAACGAUGUCUACUUGGAGGUUGUGCCCUUGAGGCGUGGCUUCCGGAGCUAACGCGUUAAGUAGACCGCCUGGGGAGUACGGCCGCAAGGUUAAAACUCAAAUGAAUUGACGGGGGCCCGCACAAGCGGUGGAGCAUGUGGUUUAAUUCGAUGCAACGCGAAGAACCUUACCUGGUCUUGACAUCCACGGAAGAAUUCAGAGAUGGAUUUGUGCCUUCGGGAACCGUGAGACAGGUGCUGCAUGGCUGUCGUCAGCUCGUGUUGUGAAAUGUUGGGUUAAGUCCCGCAACGAGCGCAACCCUUAUCCUUUGUUGCCAGCGAUUAGGUCGGGAACUCAAAGGAGACUGCCAGUGAUAAACUGGAGGAAGGUGGGGAUGACGUCAAGUCAUCAUGGCCCUUACGACCAGGGCUACACACGUGCUACAAUGGCGCAUACAAAGAGAAGCGACCUCGCGAGAGCAAGCGGACCUCAUAAAGUGCGUCGUAGUCCGGAUUGGAGUCUGCAACUCGACUCCAUGAAGUCGGAAUCGCUAGUAAUCGUGGAUCAGAAUGCCACGGUGAAUACGUUCCCGGGCCUUGUACACACCGCCCGUCACACCAUGGGAGUGGGUUGCAAAAGAAGUAGGUAGCUUAACCUUCGGGAGGGCGCUUACCACUUUGUGAUUCAUGACUGGGGUGAAGUCGUAACAAGGUAACCGUAGGGGAACCUGCGGUUGGAUCACCUCCUUA
rnacentral:rRNA from 2 species